AGAUUGAACGCUGGCGGCAUGCCUUACACAUGCAAGUCGGACGGCAGCGCGGGCUUCGGCCUGGCGGCGAGUGGCGAACGGGUGAGUAAUACAUCGGAACGUAUCCUGGAGUGGGGGAUAGCCCGGCGAAAGCCGGAUUAAUACCGCAUACGCUCUGAGGAGGAAAGCGGGGGACCUUCGGGCCUCGCGCUCAAGGGGCGGCCGAUGGCGGAUUAGGUAGUUGGUGGGGUAAAGGCCUACCAAGCCGACGAUCCGUAGCUGGUCUGAGAGGACGACCAGCCACACUGGGACUGAGACACGGCCCAGACUCCUACGGGAGGCAGCAGUGGGGAAUUUUGGACAAUGGGGGCAACCCUGAUCCAGCAAUGCCGCGUGUGUGAAGAAGGCCUUCGGGUUGUAAAGCACUUUUGUCCGGAAAGAAAUCA
rnacentral:rRNA from 1 species